AGGAUGAACGCUGGCGGCGUGCUUAACACAUGCAAGUCGAACGAUGAAGGCUGGAGCUUGCUCUGGCUGGAUUGGUGGCGAACGGGUGAGUAACACGUGAGUAACCUGCCCCAGACUCUGGGAUAAGCGCUGGAAACGGCGUCUAAUACCGGAUACGAGCUUCCACCGCA
rnacentral:rRNA from 1 species